GAUUGUUUUUCGGCCAUUUUACAGAAGCCUGAGUCUCUUCCUGGAGGUAUUACCCCUGCACAAAAUAGCCAUAUAGGACAAUAUAGCCAAAAUAGGACAAAUAUAGUCAAAUAGCCAAAAUAGGACAAAUGUGUCACAUGACAGGGAAGCUCUAGUGGUCACCUGAUAUGUACUACACUACCCAGCAUGCUUUGUGUCCUCAUCUCAUUCCCUGAUAUCACACGGCUGCAAGAAUUUUUUCUAACAGAAGAGUAGAAAAUCCAUAGAUAGUAAAACACCAGUUACUGAUCAUCUGAAGAUGGACAAAGAUAAAAAUGUGAUGACAGAAAAGAUAUUAAAUUUCACCCUAGAGAUAAUUUACCUACUGACUGGAGAGGGUUACACAGUAGUGAAGAAGACAUCCGGUGAGUGUGAGACACCUAGAAGCCAUCCCCGUGUGUCAGAAGGACUGAGGAGCUGGACUCAGAGCCCCAUCACAGUGGCUCCACCUCACUCACUGAUACAUCAGAGACACAAUGACCAGAAAAUCCUGGAACUCGCCAACAAGAUCAUCCAGCUGCUGACUGGAGAGAUGGGGGAGUAUAUAGAGGAACACAGGGGUCUGUACAAGGACGUGAUGAUGGAGAAUCACCGGCCCCUCACAUCACUGGGUAAGAGGAGACUGUCA